rnacentral:rRNA from 1 species
GAUGAUGAUCCUAUGCUGCCGAGAAAAGCCUCUAGUGAGUGUUGUGGCGGCCCGUACCCUAAACCGACUCAGGUGGUCAGGUAGAGAAUACCAAGGCGAUCGGGUGAACUGUGGUUAAGGAACUCGGCAAAUUGCCCCCGUAACUUCGGGAGAAGGGGGACCUCUGUUGGUGAUGGGCUUUACGCCUGGAGCUGGUGGGGGUCGCAGUGGCCAGGGGGAAGCGACUGUUUACUAAAAACACAGGUCCGUGCGAAGUCGUAAGACGAUGUAUACGGACUGACGCCUGCCCGGUGCCGGAACGUUAAGGGGACCGCUUAGCUGACGUGAGUUGGCGAAGGUGAGAACUUAAGCGCCGGUAAACGGCGGUGGUAACUAUAACCAUCCUAAGGUAGCGAAAUUCCUUGUCGGGUAAGUUCCGACCUGCACGAAUGGCGUAACGACUUCCCCGCUGUCUCAACCGCAGACCCGGCGAAAUUGCACUACGAGUAAAGAUGCUCGUUUCGCGCAGCAGGACGGAAAGACCCCGGGACCUUCACUACAGCUUGACAUUGGCGUUUGGAACGUCUUGUGUAGGAUAGGUGGGAGACUAGGAAGCUGUCACGCUAGUGAUGGUGGAGUCAUUGGUGAAAUACCACUCUGGUCGUUUUGAACGUCUAACUCUGGUCCGUGAUCCGGAUCGGGGACAGUGUCUGGUGGGUAGUUUAACUGGGGCGGUUGCCUCCUAAAGAGUAACGGAGGCGCCCAAAGGUUCCCUCAGCCUGGUUGGCAAUCAGGUGUUGAGUGUAAGUGCACAAGGGAGCUUGACUGUGAGACUGACAGGUCGAGCAGGAGCGAAAGCUGGGACUAGUGAUCCGGCAUCGGCGUGUGGAAGCGGUGUCGCUCAACGGCUAAAAGGUACCCCGGGGAUAACAGGCUGAUCUUCCCCAAGAGUCCAUAUCGACGGGAUGGUUUGGCACCUCGAUGUCGGCUCGUCGCAUCCUGGGGCUGGAGUAGUCCCAAGGGUUGGGCUGUUCGCCCAUUAAAGCGGUACGCGAGCUGGGUUUAGAACGUCGCGAGACAGUUCGGUCCCUAUCCGCUGCGCGCGCAGGAGACUUGAAGGGGGCUGUCCCUAGUACGAGAGGACCGGGACGGACGAACCUCUGGUGUGCCAGUUGUACCGCCAGGUGCACGGCUGGUUGGCUACGUUCGGAAGGGAUAACCGCUGAAAGCAUCUAAGCGGGAAGCUCGCCUUGAGAUGAGGUCUCCCACCACGAGAGUGGGUAAGGCUCCCGGUAGACGACCGGGUUGAUAGGCCGGAGGUGGAAGCACGGUAACGUGUGGAGCUGACCGGUACUAAUAGGCCGAGGACUUGACC